UUAGGGUUCUGGAGCCUUUAAUGGGAAGGCUCCUCUAUGUUUCCUAUAUAUAGGCUAGGUCCCCCUCUCCUCUCCAUAUGGUUGAUAGCUUGCCCCAUUGACGGUUAUCUUUUGUGAGGAGCAAGGAAGGGAAGAUCCAGCCGCUAUUAUUCCAGGUGAUUGAAGAACGUAUUCAAUAUGUCUUCCGCAGGUAUAUCCCUUAAACUUGAAUACAGUAUUAUUUGUGAUUCUAAAUCUUAGCAUGUUAUUAUUUAUGACUAACAAUUGGUAUCAGAGCCUUCAUGCUAGGAUUAGAAUCCUUCAUAUACACUUAUUAUUUUAUCUAGAUUUAUGGAUUUUAUGUAUUGCUGAAUGGAUCUUCUGCAUAAAUGGAUCUUCCAUUGAUAAUCAAGUAUAUGGUUUGAUUUUAAUAAUGAUUUGAAUGAAAUAUGAUUGAAU
rnacentral:lncRNA from 1 species